UACUCCUACGGAGGCAGCAGUGGGGAAUAUUGCACAAUGGGCGCAAGCCUGAUGCAGCCAUGCCGCGUGUAUGAAGAAGGCCUUCGGGUUGUAAAGUACUUUCAGCGGGGAGGAAGGCGAUGUGGUUAAUAACCGCGUCGAUUGACGUUACCCGCAGAAGAAGCACCGGCUAACUCCGUGCCAGCAGCCGCGGUAAUAC
rnacentral:rRNA from 1 species